ACCAACUAUAUACGCCCGCAUCUCCUUGCCCCCUCACUCAGCCAUCAUAUCAUCGCCACACCACACCACAGCGCCGCGCUGUUGGACGUGCCCAACCAAUGGUCAGCCGGCAUUUGCAUACGCAAUCAAAUCGGAAACAGCGGCGAAUACAAACAUAAACUCCAACUAAAAGCAAACACGCGCAAACACAAAUACAAACAAAUAAGUGGCGCGCAAGUCAAAGGCGUGAUUGUGUGAUAUUGAUUGAAGCGGAAGGGUCAAGCUGGACGUGCGCGGCUUACCAUCGCACUCAUCGCUCAUAUGUGUGGCAGUUAAUAAAGUGACCGCGAUAUAUGGGCGGGCAAUUGUAGCAAAUGUAUGCGUGUGUAUAGGUGUGUGUGUGUGGUCAUGUGGCGCUCACACUUUGGAUGCCAUUUAAAUAUUUGCGUAUUUACUGAUGACGCGCGCGCGGCAUCAAAAGGCUGCUGCUAGGCCACCGCACUGGCUGAUCUCCAACUGCACCUGAAAGCGCGCGGUGGUCAGUGUGUGUGCGUGUGCAUUAAAAUGAAUUUUCACUGACGCUGACUUUGAGCCGCUUCAAUUUAAAAUUGCGCAACAUCAGCGCAAACUUUGACGCAGCGUUUCUGAAUAAGUUGGAUGUGGCAGUACAGCCGCACUUAAUAGUAAUUGAUGUUGCGAGUCGACUUAACCUGAAAAAUUAAAAAAGUAAAACAGCGAAAUUUUUAUGGCACACGCGCUAAUUAACUUAAAAACAACAACAAGCAAACGAAAUAAUUCCAUUUCAUUAUCAAGUAAAUAUGAAAUUUUUAAUUCGACCACCAAAUUAACAAAAAAAAAAGCAACAAAAAAGGGAAAAAAACUGUAAGCAAGUGAAAAUGAAGAAGUCUCAGAGGACUUGGCCGGUGUGGAAAAUCAAAAAGCAUAAGCGAAUGCCGAACGAAAACAGUCACAAAAACCCUGAAACGCAAAGAAAAGAAUGAAAAACAAUCGAUUAAUGGUUUUAUGCAUAUAGUAAAAACCACAAGAGACUAUGCUGUGGAGCAGAGUACCGAAGAAGACCCGAAUGAAUGCAUUCGUCAUCACCGGCAACAAUUGAAGCUAUUCCCAUAUUCUUUAAGAAAGAUUUUGGCGGAAGAAUUUCGCGGACUUACAAAGUCCAACUUGGUCCAACUUGUGCAAGAAUUGUCGCAAAAAGUCACUGUUUGGUGUACUCUAUGAGACAGAGGGUAUCAUUGGUCCAUAUUUCUUCAAAAAUGAAGACGACGAUAGUAUUACAGUCAAUGGGAAGCGUUAUAGAGCCAUGAUUAACGACUUUUUGUGUUUCGAUUGGAGGAUGGUGAUAUGGACAACCUUUGGCUAAAACAAGACGGUGCUACUUGUCAUACAGCAGACGAAACAAUCAAUUUAUUGAAGGAAACUUUUGGUGAGCGUAUUAUCUCGCAUGGUGGCGAGUGGGAGGGGGUUAUGUGAAGUCGCUUGUCUGCGCAGAUAAGCCUGAUAUGAUUGACGCUAUGAAAGAGAAUAUUCGGCGCGUUAUUGCAGACAUAUGGGCCAAAUUACUGCUAAAAGUGGUCGAAAAUUGGGCUCUCGGUUGGAAUUUAUUCGACCCACUUAACCGAAAUCAUUUUUAAAACAUACUGACAAACCUUCAUCUUAAUAUUAAAGCUAAAUUCCUUGCCAUAAAAUCAAA